AGAGGCUCCCCAGCGUCGCCCUAGGCUGGGACUCUAGUAGGUCUUCGGCUCAGUUUUGGCUGCAGCGCCCGCGUAGGUCGCUUCGGCUGGGUUCUACGCCCGGCUCAACUAUGAGCUGGUCCGCCCAGGCGGCGGCAGUGGCGGCCACACUGCCAGGUGCCGGCGUUGGGAACGUGGGGCUGCGGCCGCCCAUGGUGCCCCGUCAGGCGUCCUUCUUCCCGCCGCCGGUGCCGAACCCCUUCGUGCAGCAGACGCAGAUCGGCUCCGCGAGGCGGGUCCAGAUUUUCCUUCUUGGGAUUAUCUUGCUUCCAAUUCGUGUCUUAUUGGUUGCAUUAAUUUUAUUACUUGCAUGGCCAUUUGCUGCAAUUUCAACAGUAUGCUGUCCUGAAAAGCUGACCCACCCAAUAACUGGUUGGAGGAGGUAAGAAAUAAUUUUGUCCAAAAUAUUAGGACAUAAUGUUAAAUUAAGAUAUACUAAAUCAAUAUAAGAAGAGUUCAUCAUAGUUUAGUCAGUGAUCUAACUGCUGUUAGAUAAAACUAUUUUAUCUGCCUACUCAAUAAUAAAUUUUACAGUUUUAUCUGCCUACUCAAUAAUAAAUUUUACAGUUUUAUCUGCCUACUCAAUAAUAAAUAAUUUAUUUUUAUUUCUCAUAUGAAAUACGUAGAAAUUACUGCCCAAAUGCCAACUACAUUAUGAUAAUCUUCUAAAAGUUAUAAUUGCCUAAUGUUAAAAUAUUUUGUUUUCUGAGUUAUUGCCAAAUGCGAUACAUCCCUAGUUCGGAAAGAUACCCAACUACUAUACUUGAAACCACUGAAGCUACAAAAUACCUUGCUCUCAGUUUUCACAUUUGCUUUUCUCCCUCUA
rnacentral:sRNA from 1 species